UUUGGUCUGGCCCAAUUCGUGUCGCUGGUCAAACUCUAGGGGCACGUCAGCUUCAAGGCACGUCAAAGGAGCUUGAGCCCGCUUCUCGCCUAGUACAUCAUCUCCGCUCGUCAAACUCAACGGGACGCACGCAACGCGACGACCAUGGCCGCGUCCUCCCCGAAGUCCGACCGCGCGGCCCUCCUCAAGGCCUUCGACGAGGCCCGCACCGGCGUCCGCGGCCUCGUCGAGUCCGGCGUCUCCACCGUCCCCGACCUCUUCGUCCACCCCGACCCCUAUGCCUCCGCCCCGCUUGCUCCCCCGGGCGUCUCCAUCCCCGUCGUUGACCUUUCCCUCCCCGCGCACCUCGUAGCCGCCGCCACCGCGGCGGCCGCCCGCGACUGGGGCUUCUUCCACCUCGUUAACCACGAGGCCCUCGUCCCCUCCGGCCACCCCGCGAGGGCCCUCGCCGCGGUGCGCCCCUUCAACGAGCUCCCCGCCCCCGAGCGCGCCGCGCACUACGGCCGGGCCUUGGCCGGCGGGGUCAGCUACUCCUCGAACGUCGACCUGUUCCGGUCCCCCGCGGCGAGCUGGCGCGACACCGUCCAGGUGAUGUUCGGGCCUACGCCGCCCAACGCCGAACGCAUACCGUCGGUGUGCCGCUCUGAAGUCAUCGAGUGGGAAGCGCACGCCGCCGCGGUGGCCCGCGCCGUGAUGGCUCUGCUCUCCGAGGGGCUCGGGCUCGGGGGUGCGGCGCUGGAGGAGACCUCGUGCCUGGAGGGGAAGCUCAUGGUCUGCCAUUACUACCCGGUGUGCCCCGAGCCUGAGCGCACCAUGGGCUUAGUCCCGCACACGGACCCCGGCGUGCUCACCGUCCUUGAGCAGGAUGGCAUUGGUGGUUUGCAGGUGAAGCACACCAAUGGGGACGGGGAGAGCUUCUGGGUGGACGUGAAGCCUGAGCCGGGCGCGCUUGUGAUCAAUGUCGGGGACCUUUUACAGGUCAACGCAAUUCAACUCAACAUUUCACUUGAGUUGGAUAUGAUGUCGUAUUAGGGGUAGAUAGUAAGCGGGAAUAGUCAAUGGAUUAUUGCUUUCAGGAUCACAUUAAUAAUGGAUCUGGACCAGUUUCAUAAUAUCAUCACUGCAUGGGCUGCUUUUUGCAUGGUUCAAGGGGCUGGUCAGAAGGUUUUCAAGGUGUUGUCAAUGAACCAUUCAUAUAUUGUUGAUUUGAACUGUGAGAGUUGUGACUGCAAAAGAUGGGAGCUGUCUGGGAUUCCAUGUCAUCAUGCCAUAGCUUGUGCUAGAGAGGAGAGGAUAGAUCCUGAGAGCCUGGUGCAUGAAUGCUACUCUGUAGCUACUUACAAAAAAGCUUAUAGUUUCAAUAUCAAGCCGAUGAGGGACCAAGAGCAUUGGACAAGGAUGGAAGGAGUGGAUGUGUACCCACCUGUGUACACCAAGGUGAUGGGUAGACCAAGGAGAAAUAGAAAGAAAGAUCCAGAAGAGAAGCUUGACAAGGAAGGGGGCAAGAAACUGACUAAACAUGGUGUAAGCAUGCACUGUUCUGUUUGUGGAGCAGCAAAUCACAACAAGAAAGGUCAUCAGAAGUGGGCAGAAACAAAUAGAGAGGCACCAGUAGCUACAGAUGAUGAUUCAGAAGAGGAGUUUGAUGAUCCAUCCAUAAUUUCAAACAUCAUGCCACACACAAUUCAUCCAUCUAUGGAUCCAACUCAAACACCAGGAUCAAUGGUUUACCUCAUGCAGCAAAUGGAGAGGAUGUCAUAUCAACCAGUCAUGGACCAUGGUCCUCUUCCUGAAUCUUCAUUUGUCGCACAAGCUAGAGCUAGCAUUCCUCCACCAAGAGUGACAACUGCUAUGGCUACUGGAAGAGUUAGGAGGAGGGGUGUUACUGAAGAUAUUCCAGAGGAUGUGCCUCAAUCCAGCCACCAAACAAGUGAUAAUGCAAGAGGCAGGAAGAGGCAGGCUAAAGGAGGUGGUAGAGGAAAUGCUACAGGAAGUGGUACGGGAAACGCUUCGCGAGGUGGUAGGGGAAAUGCUACAAGAGGAAGUGGAAGGACAAGAGGAGAAGGUGCAAGAGGAGGAACUGGAAGAGGAAAUGGUGGAAGAGGAACUCUAUAUGACAAUGGAGGAAGGACUGGACCAGGGGCUGGAUUUUGGAACUUGAUGUUUGCACCUGAUUCAGAUAAGUCACAUGUCGCAGCAGAGGAAGAGCCAAUCACACAAAAUGCACCACAAGGGGAUGAGUGGGAUGAUGACUUCGUCCACAUGUAGAUAUACAAACUGAUGCAGAAGUUCAUGACUGAACUUUAUGGAAUGCAACUAAGUUCACCAAUGAACUUCAUUUGUCUAUUUAGAGGCCUCUUUUCAUGUAAACAUGUAAUGCACUUAAGUAUGUUGACAUGAAGCACAUUGGCAGUAUCUUUCAUUGUUCAAGUGUUUUGUGAACCUGCUUUCAAAAUUUAUUAUUCAAGAGUUAUGUGAAUCUGCUGUAAAAUUAAUUAUUCAAGUGUUAUCUAAA